AUUGACAAACCGACUCUCCGUAAUCUUCUACGGUAGAGGCGCUGAUGUGCUUUCUUAAUAAUUGCACCAGUGUUCUCGGACCAGGAAAGAUCUUCAUAGAUGUGCACACACAGGAAUUUGAAGCUCUUGACCCUUUCAACCAUCCACCCGUUGAUAUAAACGGGACUGUGGGUCACCAUCCUACUCCUUCCAAAGUCCACAAUUAUUUCCGUGGGUUUGCUGGUGUUGAGGGCCAGGUUAUUGUGCUGGCACCAUAUGGACAGUUGCUCGAUCUCUCUUCUAUACUCUGACUCAUCCCCAUCAGUGAUACGUCCCACAACAGUGGUGUCAUCAGCGAACUUGAUGAUGGAGUUCGGAUUAUGACUGGCUAUGCAGUCAUCAAUAUAGAGUGAGUGCAGCAGGGGGCUGAGCUCGCAGCCUUGAGGUGCUCCCGUGCUGAUAGUUAUCGAGUCUUAACACAUUUCCACCAAUACGAACAGACUGUGGUCUGAGAAUGAGGAAGUUGAGGAUCCUAUUGCAGAGGGAUGCGCAGAAACCCACUUCCGCUAGUUUGGUAACCAGCUUGGAGGGGAUGUAUGUAUUAAAUGCCGAGAUGUACUCAAUGAAUAAGAGCCUGACAUAUUAGUUUUUGUUGUCCAAGUGGUCCAGAGCACAGUGGAGGGCCAGCGAGAUUGCGUCCACCGUUGAUCUGUUGUGGCAGUAAGCGAACUGCAGUGGGUCUAGGUUUUUGAUGCCCUUUUGAAGCAGGUGGGAACCUCAGACCUCGGAAGUGAGAGAUUGCAAAUGUCCGUAAAAACUCCAGCCAGUUGGUCCGCACAGGUUGUUUAUCUACGUAGUUUUGAUUGUUACCCAUACAAAAUCGUGCCAAUGACGAUUUAUUUAUCUAUAUUACUAUAUUACUCCACGGCAAGCCCCCUUGAUGUGGUUGCAAAGUGUUUGCCAAAUUGUCUUGGCUUUUAAAGACUCUUCAGAAAAUGUGUUGGCUGCUUGCAAAGUGUUUGCCAAAUUGUCUUGGCUUUUAAAGACUCUUCAGAAAAUGUGUUGGCUGCUUGCAAAGUGUUUGCCAAAUUGUCUUGGCUUUUAAAGACUCUUCUGAAAAUGUGUUGGCUGCUUGCAAAGUGUUUGACUAAUUGGCUUGGCACUUAAAAUCGUCGCAACAGUAUGCGGAUGGAUAAAGCGGCAAUGUGGUGCUGAGUGGGUACUUUCAGGUUCGUGGCAAGAUGGCGCUGACUGCAGAAGGCACCGAGUGAAGACACCGCUGAAUAAUUCAAGAGAGCUGACUACUCUGUCAAUGAGACAUAAAGAUGCAGUGAGCAGCAACAAGAGGCACAGCAAGAAAGAAUUAUACUCAUCUUUGACAUUUAAAAUGUUGUUAUAUUUUAAGAGAUGUUAAACUUUAAUAAAUCAUUUUUCCACUUUUCAUGCCUGCGUGUUCUUCAUCACAAUGGGAACCUAAUGGGCAGGAAUGGAUACUCUGUGGGAGUAUCUUGCUUCUGCCCAAAGAUAGGAUCUUCCCUUCGGCCUCUGCACAGAUCCUAUAGUGGAGCAAACAUAGAAACAUAGAAAAUAGAUGCAGGAGGAGUCAAUUUGGCCCUUCAAGCUAGCACCGCCAUUCAUUGUGAUCGUGGGUGAUCGUCCCCUAUCAAUAACCCGUGCCUGCCUUCUCCCCAUAUUCCUUGACUUCACUAGCCGCUAGAGCUCUAUCUAACUCUCUCUUAAAUCCAUCCAGUGACUAGGCUUCCACUGCCCUCUGUGGCAGGGAAUUCCAUAAAUUCACACAUUUCUCUGGGUGAAAAAGUUUCUUCUCACCUUAGUCUUAAAUUACCUGCCCUUUAUUCUAAGACUGGCCCCUGGUUCUGGACUCACCCAACAUUGGGAACAUUUCUCCUGCAUCUAGCUUGCCCAGUCCUUUAAUAAUUUAAUAUGUUUCUAUAAGAUUCCCCCUCAUCCUUCUAAACUCCAGUGAAUACAAGCCUAGUCUUUUCAAUCUUUACUCAUAUACAGUCCCACCAACCCAGGGAUCAAUCUCGUAAACCUACGCUGCAGAAGAACCUCUUCACUCUAUACUGAAAUCCUCUUGUUAUGAAGGCCAACAUUCCAUAGCUUUCUUUACUGCCUGCUGUACCUCUAAGCCAACUUUCAGUGGCCGGUGUACAAGGACGCCCAGGUCUCGCUGCACAUCCCCCUUACCUAACCUAAAUCUAUUGAGAUAAUAAUCAGCCCCCUUGUUUUUGCCUUCAAAGUGGAUAACCUCACAUUUAUCUAUAGUAUACUGCACAUGCCAUGCAUCUGCCCACUCACUCAACCUGUCCAGGUCACCCUGCAACCUCCUAACAUCCUCUUCACAGUUCACACUGCCACCCAGCUUUGUGUCAUUUGCAAACUUGCGAGUGUUGCUCCUAAUUCACUCUUCCAAAUCAUUAAUAUAUAUGGUAAACAGUUGCGGCCCCAAUAACAAACCUUACGGCACUCCACUCGACACUGCCUGCCAUUCUGAAAAGGACCCGUUCACUCCUACUCUUUGCUUCCUGUCUACCAAUCAAUUUUCUAUCCAUGUGAUCACCCUACCACCAAUACCAUGUGCUCAAGAUGGACCACUCCUGCAAAAAACAAUCGGCAAUCGGCAAUGUGGGCAAUACGACUUGUCUUUCUUCAGGUUCCCCAUUAAGGAGGAAAGAUGUCGACAUUGGACAUGAUCUACACCGAACUGCGGAGUAUUUGUGAAAUAACUGCCCUCUUAUGUACAUUGUGUGAAAUUGUGAUUUGCUAACUGCACAAAUAUAAUGCGAAUGGCGAUUUAUUUAUUAUUGUAUCUAUGUUGGACAUUUUGCUGUUUGGUGAAGCAGGGGUGGGGCUAUCAUUGUGUUACAUACGUUAAAUUGUACAUCACUUUCACUGGUUAGCUGAUAUGCUGAACUGCAACCCUGUAUAACUCGCGCACAGAAUAAUGUGAAUUGUGUAAAUCUUAUCCCAACGGGUCCCACUUAGUCUAUUGAUUGUGUAUAAGCUGCAAAUUUUGUCCUUUGUUUGAAAUGUGUAGAAUGUGACA